AUGGUAGCUAAACCACUUAUCACCGAGCUUGUUUAUCUUACAGAGAAGAAGAUGGACAUGACACUAGAUGACAUAAUCAAAAUGUCUAAAAACCCUAAAUUUAUAACAAAGCAAACUAGGGUUUCGAACAAGAGCAAAAAAUUUACAAACAGUUUUGCACAAGAUAGAUCUUUUAAGGCGCGCCGGUACAUGGAGUCGAGAUCUUCUCUUAGACAAGGAGUUCUUGCAAAAAGAAGGUCAAAUUUCUAG